UACAGAGGGUGCGAGCGUUAAUCGGAAUUACUGGGCGUAAAGCGCACGUAGGUGGCGACGUAAGUCGGGUGUGAAAGCCCCGGGCUCAACCUGGGAAUUGCAUUCGAGACUGCAUUGCUGGAGUACGGAAGAGGAGGGCGGAAUUCCCGGUGUAGCGGUGAAAUGCGUAGAUAUCGGGAGGAACAUCAGUGGCGAAGGCGGCCCUCUGGUCCAGUACUGACACUCAUGCACGAAAGCGUGGGGAGCAAGCAGG
rnacentral:rRNA from 1 species